rnacentral:tRNA from 1 species
GAGGAUGUAGCUCAAUGGUAGAGCUCUUGCCUUACAUGCAGAAAACCCUGAGUUCGACCUCCAGCACCACCA